UGGGGAAUAUUGCACAAUGGGCGCAAGCCUGAUGCAGCCAUGUCGCGUGUAUGAAGAAGGCCUUCGGGUUGUAAAGUACUUUCAGUCGGGAGGAAGGUGUCAAGGUUAAUAACCUUAUCAAUUGACGUUACCGACAGAAGAAGCACCGGCUAACUCCGUGCCAGCAGCCGCGGUAAUACGGAGGGUGCAAGCGUUAAUCGGAAUUACUGGGCGUAAAGCGCACGCAGGCGGUUGAUUGAGUCAGAUGUGAAAUCCCCGGGCUUAACCCGGGAAUUGCAUCUGAUACUGGUCAGCUAGAGUCUUGUAGAGGGGGGUAGAAUUCCAUGUGUAGCGGUGAAAUGCGUAGAGAUGUGGAGGAAUACCGGUGGCGAAGGUGGCCCCCUGGACAAAGACUGACGCUCAGGUGCGAAAGCGUGGGGAGCAAACAGG
rnacentral:rRNA from 1 species